rnacentral:rRNA from 1 species
UACGGAGGGUGCAAGCGUUAUCCGGAUUUACUGGGUUUAAAGGGUGCGUAGGUGGGUUGGUAAGUCAGUGGUGAAAUACUUUCGCUUAACGAAGGAACUGCCAUUGAUACUAUCAAUCUUGAAUGUAGUGGAGGUAGGCGGAAUGCGUCAUGUAGCGGUGAAAUGCUUAGAUAUGACGCAGAACACCAAUUGCGAAGGCAGCUUGCUACACUACUAUUGACACUGAGGCACGAAGCGUGGAU